rnacentral:rRNA from 1 species
ACGGGUGAGUAACACGUGGGUGAUCUGCCCUGCACUUCGGGAUAAGCCUGGGAAACUGGGUCUAAUACCGGAUAUGACCUCCUAUCGCAUGGUGGGUGGUGGAAAGAUUUAUCGGUGCAGGAUGGGCCCGCGGCCUAUCAGCUUGUUGGUGGGGUAAUGGCCUACCAAGGCGACGACGGGUAGCCGACCUGAGAGGGUGACCGGCCACACUGGGACUGAGACACGGCCCAGACUCC